rnacentral:lncRNA from 1 species
CCCCCGGGGUCACGUAGCUGCGGGUCUGGUGGACACGCGUCCACCCACCCAACUGCAGGAGCGUGGAGGAUCCAUUUGAGCCAUCAUUCUUUUAGUUGAAGAGAAAUAUAAGUACAAAACCAGAAGACAAAAAUAAUCUCCACCCUGGAAGGGUUCUGCACUUGCAAGCAUAGCGCUGAAAUGUCCAUACCUCAAGUUCCGAAGGUCAGGUUGGGAGAAAACAGCGGGCGACAGUGUGCUGUUCCAGAUGACCCAGGCAGUCUUCCAGCUACGCCUUGGAGGUAGGUUUUAUUGGAAAAACGCAGAGUGCUCAGAGAACUCGCAGCCAAUGGGAAGUUAACAAUUGCGACAAAACUACUUUGAUUAAGGACCGAAUACAAUUAUGUUCUUAUGAACACUGUUAAAAAAAAAUACCUUGAAAAAUCUUUCUUCAACAUACUCUUGUAACACGGUAUAAAAGGGAAUGAUGUCUAGAUCAUUUUAAAGAGUUGUCUAGAUUUCCCCACGGGUGAUAAGGCCCCCCCGGGGGUGUUAUUUGGGCAGUCCACAGGAAAG